UGAUAGAUGAGUUUGGUGAUGGCUCUGAAUGAACGCUGUCCAAAUGCUUGACACAUGCUAAUCGAACGUUUAAUUUAAUGAUUAAUUCAAUUAAAAGUGGUGUACAGGUGAGU
rnacentral:ncRNA from 1 species